GUAGGUGGCAAGCGUUGUCCGGAAUUAUUGGGCGUAAAGCGCGCGCAGGCGGUUCUUUAAGUCUGAUGUGAAAGCCCACGGCUCAACCGUGGAGGGUCAUUGGAAACUGGAGAACUUGAGUACGGAAGAGGAAAGCGGAAUUCCACGUGUGGCGGUGAAAUGCGUAGAGAUGUGGAGGAACACCAGUGGCGAAGGCGGCUUUCUGGUCUGUAACUGACGCUGAGGCGCGAAAGCGUGGGGAGCAAACAGGGAUUAGAUACCCUGGUAGUCCACGCCGUAAACGAUGAGUGCUAAGUGUUAGGGGGUUUCCCGCCCCUUAGUGCUGCAGCUAACGCAUUAAGCACUCCGCCUGGGGAGUACGGCCGCAAGGCUG
rnacentral:rRNA from 1 species